UACAGAGGGUGCAAACGUUGCUCGGAAUUAUUGGGCGUAAAGCGCGUGUAGGCGGCUUGUUAAGUCGGCUGUGAAAGCCCAUGGCUCAACCAUGGAAGUGCAGCCGAAACUGGCAAGCUUGAGUCCCGAAGAGGGUGGCGGAAUGCCCAGUGUAGAGGUGAAAUUCGUAGAUAUUGGGUAGAACACCAGUGGCGAAGGCGGCCACCUGGGAGGCGACUGACGCUGAGACGCGAAAGCGUGGGGAGCAAACAGG
rnacentral:rRNA from 1 species